rnacentral:misc_RNA from 1 species
GUGUCGGCGCUGCUGGCG